UAAGUUAUUAAGGGCGCACGGUGGAUGCCUUGGCACUAGAAGCCAAUGAAGGACGUUACUAACGACGAUAUGCUUUGGGGAGCUGUAAGUAAGCUUUGAUCCAGAGAUUUCCGAAUGGGGAAACCCAGCAUGAGUUAUGUCAUGUUAUCGAUAUGUGAAUACAUAGCAUAUCAGAAGGCACACCCGGAGAACUGAAACAUCUUAGUACCCGGAGGAAGAGAAAGAAAAUUCGAUUCCCUUAGUAGCGGCGAGCGAAAGGGAAGAGCCCAAACCAACAAGCUUGCUUGUUGGGGUUGUAGGACACUCUAUACGGAGUUACAAAGGACGACAUUAGACGAAUCAUCUGGAAAGAUGAAUCAAAGAAGGUAAUAAUCCUGUAGUCGAAAAUGUUGUCUCUCUUGAGUGGAUCCUGAGUACGACGGAGCACGUGAAAUUCCGUCGGAAUCUGGGAGGACCAUCUCCUAAAGGCUAAAUACUCUCUAGUGACCGAUAGUGAACCAGUACCGUGAGGGAAAGGUGAAAAGCACCCCGGAAGGGGAGUGAAAUAGAACCUGAAACCGUGUGCUUACAAGUAGUCAGAGCCCGUUAAUGGGUGAUGGCGUGCCUUUUGUAGAAUGAACCGGCGAGUUACGAUUUGAUGCAAGGUUAAGCAGUAAAUGUGGAGCCGUAGCGAAAGCGAGUCUGAAUAGGGCGUUUAGUAUUUGGUCGUAGACCCGAAACCAGGUGAUCUACCCUUGGUCAGGUUGAAGUUCAGGUAACACUGAAUGGAGGACCGAACCGACUUACGUUGAAAAGUGAGCGGAUGAACUGAGGGUAGCGGAGAAAUUCCAAUCGAACCUGGAGAUAGCUGGUUCUCUCCGAAAUAGCUUUAGGGCUAGCCUCAAGUGAUGAUUAUUGGAGGUAGAGCACUGUUUGGACGAGGGGCCCCUCUCGGGUUACCGAAUUCAGACAAACUCCGAAUGCCAAUUAAUUUAACUUGGGAGUCAGAACAUGGGUGAUAAGGUCCGUGUUCGAAAGGGAAACAGCCCAGACCACCAGCUAAGGUCCCAAAAUAUAUGUUAAGUGGAAAAGGAUGUGGCGUUGCCCAGACAACUAGGAUGUUGGCUUAGAAGCAGCCAUCAUUUAAAGAGUGCGUAAUAGCUCACUAGUCGAGUGACACUGCGCCGAAAAUGUACCGGGGCUAAACAUAUUACCGAAGCUGUGGAUUGUCCUUUGGACAAUGGUAGGAGAGCGUUCUAAGGGCGUUGAAGCAUGAUCGUAAGGACAUGUGGAGCGCUUAGAAGUGAGAAUGCCGGUGUGAGUAGCGAAAGACGGGUGAGAAUCCCGUCCACCGAUUGACUAAGGUUUCCAGAGGAAGGCUCGUCCGCUCUGGGUUAGUCGGGUCCUAAGCUGAGGCCGACAGGCGUAGGCGAUGGAUAACAGGUUGAUAUUCCUGUACCACCUAUAAUCGUUUUAAUCGAUGGGGGGACGCAGUAGGAUAGGCGAAGCGUGCGAUUGGAUUGCACGUCUAAGCAGUAAGGCUGAGUAUUAGGCAAAUCCGGUACUCGUUAAGGCUGAGCUGUGAUGGGGAGAAGACAUUGUGUCUUCGAGUCGUUGAUUUCACACUGCCGAGAAAAGCCUCUAGAUAGAAAAUAGGUGCCCGUACCGCAAACCGACACAGGUAGUCAAGAUGAGAAUUCUAAGGUGAGCGAGCGAACUCUCGUUAAGGAACUCGGCAAAAUGACCCCGUAACUUCGGGAGAAGGGGUGCUCUUUAGGGUUAACGCCCAGAAGAGCCGCAGUGAAUAGGCCCAAGCGACUGUUUAUCAAAAACACAGGUCUCUGCUAAACCGUAAGGUGAUGUAUAGGGGCUGACGCCUGCCCGGUGCUGGAAGGUUAAGAGGAGUGGUUAGCUUCUGCGAAGCUACGAAUCGAAGCCCCAGUAAACGGCGGCCGUAACUAUAACGGUCCUAAGGUAGCGAAAUUCCUUGUCGGGUAAGUUCCGACCCGCACGAAAGGCGUAACGAUUUGGGCACUGUCUCAACGAGAGACUCGGUGAAAUCAUAGUACCUGUGAAGAUGCAGGUUACCCGCGACAGGACGGAAAGACCCCGUGGAGCUUUACUGUAGCCUGAUAUUGAAAUUCGGCACAGCUUGUACAGGAUAGGUAGGAGCCUUUGAAACGUGAGCGCUAGCUUACGUGGAGGCGCUGGUGGGAUACUACCCUAGCUGUGUUGGCUUUCUAACCCGCACCACUUAUCGUGGUGGGAGACAGUGUCAGGCGGGCAGUUUGACUGGGGCGGUCGCCUCCUAAAAGGUAACGGAGGCGCUCAAAGGUUCCCUCAGAAUGGUUGGAAAUCAUUCAUAGAGUGUAAAGGCAUAAGGGAGCUUGACUGCGAGACCUACAAGUCGAGCAGGGUCGAAAGACGGACUUAGUGAUCCGGUGGUUCCGCAUGGAAGGGCCAUCGCUCAACGGAUAAAAGCUACCCCGGGGAUAACAGGCUUAUCUCCCCCAAGAGUUCACAUCGACGGGGAGGUUUGGCACCUCGAUGUCGGCUCAUCGCAUCCUGGGGCUGUAGUCGGUCCCAAGGGUUGGGCUGUUCGCCCAUUAAAGCGGUACGCGAGCUGGGUUCAGAACGUCGUGAGACAGUUCGGUCCCUAUCCGUCGUGGGCGUAGGAAAUUUGAGAGGAGCUGUCCUUAGUACGAGAGGACCGGGAUGGACAUACCUCUGGUGUACCAGUUGUCGUGCCAACGGCAUAGCUGGGUAGCUAUGUGUGGACGGGAUAAGUGCUGAAAGCAUCUAAGCAUGAAGCCCCCCUCAAGAUGAGAUUUCCCAACUUCGGUUAUAAGAUCCCUCAAAGAUGAUGAGGUUAAUAGGUUCGAGGUGGAAGCAUGGUGACAUGUGGAGCUGACGAAUACUAAUCGAUCGAAGACUUAAUCA
rnacentral:rRNA from 1 species